rnacentral:lncRNA from 1 species
GUAGAAUAGUAGAGUAGGAAUUGCAUACAAAUUGCAUGGCCUCUAAUUUUUUUCUUAUUUAAACCUUCCCCUCUUUAUUUUCCAAAAGCAACUUAUUUCACUGCAAGAAGUUAAAUUGUUUUUUUUCAACAUUUUUUUUAGGUGAGUACCCAGAAUAUGAAGAUGGGUGGACUGCCACGUACAACACCUCCAACUCAGAAGCCCCCAAGUCCCCCUAUGUCAGGGAAGGGGACACUUGGGCGGCACUCCCCCUAUCGAACACUGGAGCCAGUGCGUCCUCCAGUGGUACCAAAUGAUUACGUACCUAGCCCAACCCGUAAUAUGGCUCCCUCGCAGCAGAGCCCUGUGAGGACAGCUUCUGUGAAUCAAAGAAAUCGAACUUACAGCAGCAGUGGGAGCAGUGGAGGAAGCCACCCAAGUAGUCGGAGCAGCAGUCGGGAGAACA